rnacentral:rRNA from 1 species
UACGGGGGGGGCAAGCGUUGUUCGGAAUUACUGGGCGUAAAGGGCUCGUAGGCGGCCAACUAAGUCAGCCGUGAAAUCCCUCGGCUUAACCGGGGAACUGCAUCUGAUACUGGAUGGCUUGAGUUCGGGAGAGGGAUGCGGAAUUCCAGGUGUAGCGGUGAAAUGCGUAGAUAUCUGGAGGAACACCGGUGGCGAAGGCGGCAUCCUGGACCGGCACUGACGCUGAGGAGCGAAAGCCAGGGGAGCAAACGGG